rnacentral:rRNA from 1 species
UACGUAGGGGGCAAGCGUUAUCCGGAUUUACUGGGUGUAAAGGGAGCGUAGACGGUACGCCAAGUCUGAAGUGAAAUGCCGCAGCUUAACUGCGGAACUGCUUUGGAAACUGUGAAGCUGGAGUGCGGGAGGGGCAGGCGGAAUUCCUGGUGUAGCGGUGAAAUGCGUAGAUAUCAGGAGGAACACCGGCGGCGAAGGCGGCCUGCUGGACCGUAACUGACGUUGAGGCUCGAAAGCGUGGGGAGCAAACAGG